GCUCACGGCCAUAUCAGCCUGGGUACGCCCGAUCUCGUCUGAUCUCGGAAGCUAAGCAUGGUCGGGCCUGGUUAGUACUUGGAUGGGAGACCGCCUGGGAAUACCAGGUGCUGUAAGCA
rnacentral:rRNA from 1 species